AGCGAACGCUGGCGGCAGGCUUAACACAUGCAAGUCGAGCGGGCCUUUCGGGGUCAGCGGCGGACGGGUGAGUAACGCGUGGGAACGUGCCCUCUGGUUCGGAAUAACUCAGGGAAACUUGAGCUAAUACCGGAUACGCCCUUUUGGGGAAAGGCUUGCUGCCGGAGGAUCGGCCCGCGUCUGAUUAGCUAGUUGGUGAGGUAACGGCUCACCAAGGCGACGAUCAGUAGCUGGUCUGAGAGGAUGAUCAGCCACACUGGGACUGAGACAUGGCCCAGACUCCUACGGGAGGCAGCAGUGGGGAAUAUUGGACAAUGGGCGCAAGCCUGAUCCAGCCAUGCCGCGUGAGUGAUGAAGGCCUUAGGGUUGUAAAGCUCUUUUAUCCGGGACGAUAAUGACGGUACCGGAGGAAUAAGCCCCGGCUAACUUCGUG
rnacentral:rRNA from 1 species